CAGCAGCCGCGGGAAUACGGAGGGAGCUAGCGUUGUUCGGAAUCACUGGGCGUAAAGCGCACGUAGGCGGCUAUUCAAGUCAGGGGUGAAAGCCCGGGGCUCAACCCCGGAACUGCCUUUGAAACUAGAUAGCUUGAAUCUUGGAGAGGCGAGUGGAAUUCCGAGUGUAGAGGUGAAAUUCGUAGAUAUUCGGAAGAACACCAGUGGCGAAGGCGACUCGCUGGACAAGUAUUGACGCUGAGGUGCGAAAGCGUGGGGAGCAAACAGGAUUAGAUACCCCGGUAGUCCCUGUCUCUUAUAC
rnacentral:rRNA from 1 species